rnacentral:ncRNA from 1 species
UAUUUUUGCAGCCUGAUUGCCAAAGAGGUAAUCGUACAUAAAAAUCAUUUAAAUAAUAUUUGCAUG